UUAAGUUAAUAAGGGCGCACGGUGGAUGCCUUGGCACUAGGAGCCGACGAAGGACGUGACAAACGACGAUAUGCCUUGGGUAGCUGUAAGUAAGCGAUGAUCCAGGGAUUUCCGAAUGGGGGAACCCAACAGGUAGUACCUGUUACCCACAGCUGUUAAGGAUGUGAGGAGGAAGACGCAGUGAACUGAAACAUCUAAGUAGCUGCAGGAAGAGAAAGCAAAAGCGAUUGCCUUAGUAGCGGCGAGCGAAACGGCAGGAGGGCAAACCGAAGAGUUUACUCUUCGGGGUUGUAGGACUGCAAUGUGGACUCAAAGAUUAUAGAAGAAUGAUUUGGGAAGAUCAGCCAAAGAGAGUAAUAGCCUCGUAUUUAAAAUAGUCUUUGUACCUAGCAGUAUCCUGAGUACGGCGGGACACGUGAAAUCCCGUCGGAAUCUGGGAGGACCAUCUCCCAACCCUAAAUACUCCCUAGUGACCGAUAGUGAACCAGUACCGUGAGGGAAAGGUGAAAAGCACCCCGGGAGGGGAGUGAAAUAGAACCUGAAACCGUGUGCCUACAACAAGUUCGAGCCCGUUAAUGGGUGAGAGCGUGCCUUUUGUAGAAUGAACCGGCGAGUUACGUUAUGAUGCGAGGUUAAGUUGAAGAGACGGAGCCGUAGGGAAACCGAGUCUGAAUAGGGCGCCUUAGUAUCAUGACGUAGACCCGAAACCAUGUGACCUACCCAUGAGCAGGUUGAAGGUGCGGUAAGACGCACUGGAGGACCGAACCAGGGCACGUUGAAAAGUGCUUGGAUGACUUGUGGGUAGCGGAGAAAUUCCAAACGAACUUGGAGAUAGCUGGUUCUCUCCGAAAUAGCUUUAGGGCUAGCGUCGACAUUAGAGAUUCUUGGAGGUAGAGCACUGUUUGGGUGAGGGGUCCAUCCCGGAUUACCAAUCUCAGAUAAACUCCGAAUGCCAAUGAAUUAUGGUCGGCAGUCAGACUGCGAGUGCUAAGAUCCGUAGUCGAAAGGGAAACAGCCCAGACCACCAGCUAAGGUCCCAAAAUAAUUGUUAAGUGGAAAAGGAUGUGGGGUUGCACAGACAACUAGGAUGUUAGCUUAGAAGCAGCUAUUCAUUCAAAGAGUGCGUAAUAGCUCACUAGUCGAGUGACCCUGCGCCGAAAAUGUACCGGGGCUAAAACAAUUUACCGAAGCUGUGGAUACCUUUAUAGGUAUGGUAGGAGAGCGUUCUAUGUGUGAUGAAGGUAUACCGUGAGGAGUGCUGGAACGCAUAGAAGUGAGAAUGCCGGUAUGAGUAGCGAAAGACAGGUGAGAAUCCUGUCCACCGUAAGACUAAGGUUUCCAGGGGAAGGCUCGUCCGCCCUGGGUUAGUCGGGACCUAAGGAGAGACCGAAAGGUGUAUCCGAUGGACAACAGGUUGAUAUUCCUGUACUAGAGUAUGUAGUGAUGGAGGGACGCAGUAGGCUAACUAAAGCAGACGAUUGGAAGAGUCUGUCUAAGCAGUGAGGUGUGAAUUGAGUCAAAUGCUUAAUUCUAUAACAUUGAGCUGUGAUGGGGAGCGAAGUUUAGUAGCGAAGUUAGUGACGUCACACUGCCAAGAAAAGCUUCUAGCGUUUAAACAUACUCUACCCGUACCGCAAACCGACACAGGUAGUCGAGGCGAGUAGCCUCAGGUGAGCGAGAGAACUCUCGUUAAGGAACUCGGCAAAAUGACCCCGUAACUUCGGGAGAAGGGGUGCUGACUUAAAGUCAGCCGCAGUGAAUAGGCCCAAGCAACUGUUUAUCAAAAACACAGCUCUCUGCUAAAUCGUAAGAUGAUGUAUAGGGGGUGACGCCUGCCCGGUGCUGGAAGGUUAAGAGGAGUGCUUAGCGUAAGCGAAGGUAUGAAUUGAAGCCCCAGUAAACGGCGGCCGUAACUAUAACGGUCCUAAGGUAGCGAAAUUCCUUGUCGGGUAAGUUCCGACCCGCACGAAAGGCGUAAUGAUUUGGGCACUGUCUCAACGAGAGACUCGGUGAAAUUUUAGUACCUGUGAAGAUGCAGGUUACCCGCGACAGGACGGAAAGACCCCAUGGAGCUUUACUGCAGUUUGAUAUUGAGUGUCUGUACCACAUGUACAGGAUAGGUAGGAGUCUAAGAGAUCGGGACGCCAGUUUCGAAGGAGACGCUGUUGGGAUACUACCCUUGUGUUAUGGCCACUCUAACCCAGAUAGGUGAUCCCUAUCGGAGACAGUGUCUGACGGGCAGUUUGACUGGGGCGGUCGCCUCCUAAAAGGUAACGGAGGCGCCCAAAGGUUCCCUCAGAAUGGUUGGAAAUCAUUCGCAGAGUGUAAAGGUAUAAGGGAGCUUGACUGCGAGAGCUACAACUCGAGCAGGGACGAAAGUCGGGCUUAGUGAUCCGGUGGUUCCGUAUGGAAGGGCCAUCGCUCAACGGAUAAAAGCUACCCUGGGGAUAACAGGCUUAUCUCCCCCAAGAGUUCACAUCGACGGGGAGGUUUGGCACCUCGAUGUCGGCUCGUCGCAUCCUGGGGCUGUAGUCGGUCCCAAGGGUUGGGCUGUUCGCCCAUUAAAGCGGCACGCGAGCUGGGUUCAGAACGUCGUGAGACAGUUCGGUCCCUAUCCGUCGCGGGCGUAGGAAAUUUGAGAGGAUCUGCUCCUAGUACGAGAGGACCAGAGUGGACUUACCGCUGGUGUACCAGUUGUCUUGCCAAAGGCAUCGCUGGGUAGCUAUGUAGGGAAGGGAUAAACGCUGAAAGCAUCUAAGUGUGAAACCCACCUCAAGAUGAGAUUUCCCAUGAUUAUAUAUCAGUAAGAGCCCUGAGAGAUGAUCAGGUAGAUAGGUUAGAAGUGGAAGUGUGGCGACACAUGUAGCGGACUAAUACUAAUAGCUCGAGGACUUAUCCAA
rnacentral:rRNA from 1 species